CGGGGCGUGGCGCAGUCUGGCUAGCGCGCUUGGCUGGGGGUCAAGAAGUCGCAGGUUCAAAUCCUGUCGCCCCGACUA
rnacentral:tRNA from 1 species